rnacentral:rRNA from 1 species
UGUUUGAUGUUCUAACGUUGGCCCGUAAUCCGGGUUGCGGACAGUGUCUGGUGGGUAGUUUGACUGGGGCGGUCUCCUCCUAAAGAGUAACGGAGGAGCACGAAGGUUGGCUAAUCCUGGUCGGACAUCAGGAGGUUAGUGCAAUGGCAUAAGCCAGCUUGACUGCGAGCGUGACGGCGCGAGCAGGUGCGAAAGCAGGUCAUAGUGAUCCGGUGGUUCUGAAUGGAAGGGCCAUCGCUCAACGGAUAAAAGGUACUCCGGGGAUAACAGGCUGAUACCGCCCAAGAGUUCAUAUCGACGGCGGUGUUUGGCACCUCGAUGUCGGCUCAUCACAUCCUGGGGCUGAAGUAGGUCCCAAGGGUAUGGCUGUUCGCCAUUUAAAGUGGUACGCGAGCUGGGUUUAGAACGUCGUGAGACAGUUCGGUCCCUAUCUGCCGUGGGC